rnacentral:tRNA from 1 species
GCCAGGAUAGCUCAGUUGGUAGAGCAUACGACUGAAAAUCGUAGUGUCCGCAGUUCGAUCCUGCGUCCUGGCA